UAUGUUUUCUUUAUCACACAUGUAUCUAUCCAUCAAUCCACUGUAUUGUCUUUUUGCAUUUCCAAGUAAGUUGCAGACACCAGUACAUUUCAACUCUGAGCAGUUCAGCUUGAAUAUUAUUACCUAGAGUAAAAACCAUUAUUUGCUUUUUUUUUUUGAGGUGAAAGUUACAUGGAAUGAAAUAUACCAAUCUUAAAUGCUCCACAAUAUUAGCUUUUUACAGAAAAGUUGUUAAUGUUUUGAGUAUUGAGAAACAUCUCUCAAAAUGUUGGGAUUCCCUUAGGCUGGUCUGUAGCCCCCUCUUUGAAUGUUGCUGCAAAUCACACCCAACGCUGUUGGAGCCAGGUAGAGACCAGCUGCUUGCUAUCCACCUAAGGAUUCCUUGAGUACCACAAACCCCCUUCUCCGUAAUUCCCUCCACCCACCCUGUUUGACUUCCCUGCUGACCACUGUCUCUCUGCCAGGUGGCCUAGGCCCUCAUGACCACCUGCUAACCUUGCUGCAGCCUGGCCCACACCCUGGGACUUAUCUCCUAUAGGAUGACAGGUGCUGGCCAGAGAGGUCAGGCCACAGCCUCAUGCUCAGGGAUGAGGUGACAGUGGGGAUGACAGCCCUCCAGCUCAGGGCUUCAGCUUGCCCAGAGAGGGGGCCAGAUCUGGGACAGUAGAAUUGUCAGGGAGGGAUUGGUGCUGAUCAAAGAAGACUGAAUCGUUGGCCCCCAAAAAGGCCAUGAGGUUGGUGAGAGGUGGAAGGAAGGGGAGGCAGACAACCUCACGUUACAGGGAAUGAGUCCUGCUCCACAAAGUCUAGAGCAACCUCUCUGUCAUGCGUUCGUUCAUGAUGGUUUGGAUACAAGAUAGUCACAUCUCAACUGCAUUCCUUCCUCAAGGUUCCCAGGGCCCUCCCUUCUACAAGAUACAGCUGGGGGUGCCAAGUCAGGACCAAAGCCAAGGAAAGGUCUUACACAAAGCCAAGGAAGGGUCUCAGGGGCUGUAGAGAAGAGACCUGACACCUGGCCUGUGACUCAGCAUUCAAUGUCAAAGGGACCAAUGAAGAGAAGCACCCUUAGUUCAUUUUCAGAGUUUCAGCAAUUUCCUGGGUCCCAAAUUUGGCAGAUAUCAGCUCUGAAGUGCUUGGAUACUAAACUGUUAUUGUUGUUUUCACAAAAGUAAUGCAGAGUAAUUAUAGAAAGUUUAGAGACUGCAUAUAAGAAUAACCCUUUUCCAUAAUUCUAUGACUGUACCAAAAGAGUAUCUCCAUUUUGUUUUAUAUCCUUUCAGCCUUUUAUCUACUCAUGUGCAUUUAUAUGUUUUUUAAAAAGCAAAAUCAAAUAAAAAUGAAAAAGUAAAUAGUGCUAUUUUAUAAUCAACUUUGUAAAAUCAACACGGCAUCUUGACUAUCUUUAUAUACAAUUUAAAAUGAUUCUCGGUACUGUGUCUUUCACCUAAAAUUUUUCCUUAAGAAAUUUUAAAGUAAACAUAAAAGUAGAAUAGUGCAAUAAACCCCACGUAAUUAUCACCCAGAUUCUAUUUAUGAAGAUUGUGACACAUUUUUUAAAUGUACUCAUCUAUCCUUUUUUUCUUUUUGCUAAAAUAAUAUAUGGCAAGUUCCAGAUGUCACAUCACUUCACUCCUACACACAUAUUUCAAUCAGCUUCUCUAAAAUAUAUUGACAUUUCUUAUACAACCACAAUGCCAUUAGGACACCUAGUACAUUUUUUGGUAUCAUCUAAUACUUAGCCCGUAAUAAAAUUUGUCAAAAUGCAUAAGCAAUUUUCAAACAUUGAUUUAUUUGAAUUAUGAUUUCUAAAUGAAAAAUAAAAGUACUUCUUUAAGCAGACAUGUUGGUGUCCAAAACACCAGGGAAUGUUUCCCAAAUUAUCUCAUUAAUGGGACCCUCUUGAGUUUCAAGACUAUGUGUGUGGUGUUUUCACUGUUUCCUCUUAUAAACAUUAAGCAACAAAUAUUGCUUCUGUUCCCGGCACCUAAACCCGAAGAUCAGCCCCGUCUGCCCAGUCCUACCUCUUCAGUGUUUCCAGCGGUUCCUUCCUGCUCAUGACACCGGUGUCUGGGUCCACUGUGGUUAAAAUGCAUCUGGACACGCACACAGAGCAUCAUAAGGGGGACAGAGCAGAGCGACCUUAUCCCCACCUCCACCCCACAGGGACAGGAAAGCACCUUACCUGGAACAAGCCAUCACCCUUUUCAGUUCCACGUCACCAAUAAGAAGCUCAUCCCAAGAAUCCUAGGGGACAAAGCACAAAUUCCCAUGAGCACCUCUGGGCCCUGCCCCUGACACGUGUGUAGAGACUUCCCAGGAGCCCUCGCACCUAACGAUGUCACCCACAUCAGUGAUGGCAGCCUUCUGUUCUCCCCCAGCCCUGCUCUGCCAAGUGAUACCCACACACCUUGGCGUUCCCUCUCUCUGGCUUUGAUAUGCCAGUUGAUUCCCCUGAGAUGAGAUUUCCCUCUCCUCUCACUUGUAAAAAUGUCAUGGAAACUCGCCUUGCUCAGGGAGGCUCCCUGAUAAUCCCACUUGACUGGUGGUGGGGGGUGGGGUGCACAAAGUGAAUGGGGUGGGUGAAAGUGGGGAGGGGGACAGAUGGGGGCAUUGCUCAUUACUUCAGAUUAUAUCACAUCCCUUAGUGCCUGCCUGAAGUUAUAUGGAUCAAGAGCCUUAAGUCACUGAGUAUGUGCAUGUCUCCCCUAGCCAGAUACGGACACAUCAGGAGCAGGACCAGCAGCCUCAUUCCUCUUUGAUUUUUGCUGGAGUAUUUAUGAAGCACUGUGGCCAGGGGAGCUGUGGGCUGGGUCAGUGGAGCCUAGUUUCCAUGACAAACCGCAUUAGUGGACCAAGUCCCUCCAAUCCAGCAGCCAAGAUAGGCCAUCCAUACAUGGAAUUCUAAAGAUAAAUAUUUUAUUUUUAAAUGCCAGAAAUAUUCACAAAAAGCACUCCAAGGCAGCACGUCAUGUGUUGGUUUAACUGUGCUGGCAAUACUUACUCUGGGGAUUCAGAGGCAUGGCUCUCCAGGCUGGUCUGGUUAGAGGAAGUUUUAUAAGGAAUAGGUAAGAUGGGUGCUGAGUCUAAAAGGGCAGAGAGUUUGAGAGGCACAAAAGAAGGGUAAGGGGACUCCAGGCAGAGGGGACAGCAAUAAGAAGGAAGGGCGCCGAGGAGGCAAAGGACAUUUGAUUAUAGUCCUGACCUUCUUACCCUCGGAGAGAAUUGCCCACCACACGAGGGCGGAAGGCAAAGACCUGGAGUUAAGCAAACUGCCUUGUCCUUGGUUGAUCAUGAGCUCAGAAUUUUAACUCCAAUAGUGUGUGUUAUUCUUGAUAUAUAUGACACAGGGGUUUUGUUCUGUCGUAAAUCAUAAAAUGGAUCUCAAGCACAUAUUUUCAACAGUCCAGAAAACUGGGCACAGCGGAUUAGCACAGCCACAGCCUGUCCUGUGAACAUUUCUCCACAAGGGGGCACUAUGGUCACAAGAAAACACAUAAAAAGGGUAUAUAAAAGGAGAGAAAUAAGGGUUCCACUUAGGAAAUUAAGUUAUUAUUAAUUAAAGAAAUACUUCCAGAGCCCCUUCUAUUCCAAAAAAAACUACUGGAGAUUGAGUCAUAAGCACUGAUGAGCCCAGGAAAGUCUUCCUACAGCACCCGGAGGUGACCAGUUCAAACAGGACAAGCCUGGUAAUGGGAGAGGCUCAGAGCACACGGUAGCUUCAGAGAAGGGAGGGAGCGCUUUGAGGUCCGGCAAUCAGAGCAGGCUUCCCAGGGGAGGGGGCUUUUAAUCCAGGCUUUUAGAGAAUGUCAACAGUUUUAAGUAGGGAAGGGAGUAAGAUUCUCAGUGACCAGGAGACACCAGUUUGCAGUUUGGAGCUUUCGUUCGUGAUAUGGUUUGGCUGUGUCUCCACCCAAAUCUCAUCUUGAAUUGUAGCUCCCAUAAUCCCCAUGUGUCAUGGGAGGGACCCAGUUGGAGGUAAUUGAAUCAUGGGGGCGGGUCUUUCCCAUGCUUUUUUUGUGAUAGUGAAUAAAUCUCAUGAGAUCUGAUGGUUUUAUAAAGGGCAGUUCCCCUGCACGCACUCUCUUGCCUGCCACCAUGUAAGACGUACCUUUGCUUCUCCUUCACCUUCUGCCAUGAUUGUGAGGCCUCCACAGCCAUGUGGAACUGUGAGUCCAUUAAGCCUCUUUUUCUUUAUAAAUUACCCAGUCUCGGGUAUUUCUUCAUAGCACUAUGAAAAUAAACUAAUACAGUUGGUAAUAAAGGCUGGAAAAGCAGACUGUGGCAAGGUUACAGAGGAAUGUAAUGAUUGAGUGGGAAGUUUGGACCUUUGUGACAUGGAAAGCCACUAAAGGCUUCUGAGCAAGUCAGCAACACUGAUGAUUUGUUACAAACUUUUAGAGCGGGAGAGAUCACGCUGAUCAGCUCUAGGAGGCUUGGCUGUGGCAACAUUCAGGAGGGAGCACUCAGUGGUCCAAACUUAAAGUAACAAACGUCGGAUCUGGCUGGUGGCUAAGAAUAGAAAGGGGAGCCAACAUGGCUGGGGCUGGGAGGAACACAGCAGAGGGAGGAGCCAGGGCCGACUGUCACGCUCUGAGCCUGGGUGAAAGUAAAAAACAUGCUGCCCUGGAUAGAAACUGUGAAGUCAACAGAAGGAGUUUGGGGGCCAGGUGCAGUGGCUCAUGCCUGUUAUCCCAGCACUUUGGGAGGCCAAGGCGGGUGGAUCACCUGAGGUUAGGAGUUCAAGACCAGCCUGGCCAACAUGGCAAAACCNNNNNNNNNNGCAUCUGCCUGUAAUCCCAGCUACUCAAGAGUCUGAGGCAGUAGAAUCGCUUGAAUCCGGGAGGCAGAGGUUGCAGUGAGCUGAGAUCAUGCCAGCGCACUCUGACCUAGGUGACAGAGCAAGACUCUGUUUCAAAAAAGAAAGAAAGAAUGAGUUUAGGGAGGUGGGGUGAGGGUGUAGGGGCUGGGGUGGGAGCACAUAAGUCUGAGUUUCUCUGUCAACCAACAAAGAGUUGGAACUGUGGUGCAGCACUCCAGAGGGAGUCCUGGGUGGACAUUUGAGGGACCUAUGUCAGGUGACAGAGGGCGAUGCUGCAGGAGACAGUGUGAUCACCAAGGAGGGGAGAGAAAAGGGUCAAGGCCAGAACUUUUGGAAGUAAGGGAUGAGGACAAACAGCAGAGAAGCAAGGGCAGUACAGCUAAAGGAGAAACGUUUCAGUAAGUAGUCUCCAUGUGUCCUCAGAGCGGGGUGGUGGUGACUGAGAAACGGUCACUGACUGUGGCAAGUAGGGUGGUUGUCUCUACUGUGGCUUCGGGGAGAAGUGAGGUGUAAGAAAUGAGUGUGGGGAGUGCCGAUGAUGAAGGGAGGCAGAGAAAAGCCACAGUUGCUGAGAAGGUAGCUUCCGAGAUGAGGAGUGGGUCUGCUUUCCAGAAACUUCCAUGCAGGUCCUUGGCCUUCCUCCAUGCUAGCCUGCUCUCCCAGCUGCACCCUGGCCCCACCUGCUCUAAUCCUUCUCCAGGCUCCUGGCAGAGGCAAAUGUGUAUCAUGCAAAUCGGAUUCAGUCACUCCCUGGCCAAAAAUUCUUCGGAUUCAGUCACUCCCUGGCCAAAAAUUCUUCCCAGACUCCCCAAAACCUGACACCAAGUACCUGUGCUCUCAGCUCCCCUCCUCUCCUGAGCCCCAGCACUGCAAGAUGGCCAUUCUCUCAUACCUUCAUAGCCCUGUGUAUGCACCCCUCCCUCAGUGCCCCCCUUUCUCCUGGACAAUACUUUGUCCAGGUCAUUCAUUUAACAGAUAAUUAGUGCACACCUUCUAUGUACCAGGGGCUCUCCUAGGGGCUGGAGAUACAGCAGCCCCUGUCCUCAAGGAGCUUGCAUAGGGGAAACAGACAAUACACUGAUACCUGAGUACACACGGCUUGUUAGGUGGGGUGUGUGCUGUGGGGGGGCUGGAUGAGCGGGGUCAGUGAAGCCCGCAGCAGGGGACUGAAAGAGGCACUGGAGUGAGCCAUGAGGCCUGUGAGGGAAGAUAUGCCAGGCAGAGGACCCAGCCGGGGCCCAGAAAAAAGGCCAGUAUGGCUGGGGCAGAGUGAGAGAGCAGAGGGGAGUGAGAGGAGAAGGGGCUGGGAGCUGGCGGGGUGCAGGUCAUGUUGGGCCUUCCAGGCAAUCCAUAAGGAUCCCAUCUUUUACUUGAAGAAAGGUGGAGAACCAUGAGAGGGCUUUGAGCAGACAAAUCACAUGAUGUUACUUACAUCAACAGGGUUACCUUGAUGGAUGUGCUGAGAACAGCCCAUGGAUGGUGCAGGGCUGGGUCAAGGGUGGGGCAAGGAGGCCAGUGAAGCCAGGCUGCUGCAGCACCAGUGGUGACUGCAUCCGGGCAGAGAGGGGAGUGGGGGGGAAGGCCCAGCCACCAAGAUCUGUCAACUGUAGGAACUUAGGAUGUGAGAGAAAGAGAAGAACAAAGGGUGGUUAGCAGUUUGGGGCCUGAGCCAGCGGAAGUCAGAGCUGUUGUGUGCUGAGAUAGGCGAGACAGCACAGCAGGCUUUGGGGUGGAAACCUGAACCUCAAUUUCAGACAUCCUGACGUUGGAUUAGACAUCCACAUGGAGAUAUGGAGAAGCAGGGGAAAGCUCUGGCAGAAGGAUAUAGUUAGGGGUCCUCAGGGCAGAGAAGGUCUUAAAAACAGAUGAUUAAAUUAAAAAAAAAAAAAAAGGAGAGAAAGAACAGAUCAGAAAAGUGAGUGCAGACAAAUGAGAAAGGGUCUGAGACCAGAGCCCUGGGUGCCCCAUGCUUCAGCUCACCCCACAAUGCAGGUGUUAGUCACGUCCCCACGUCUGGCUGCUUUGCCACCCUCCUGGCCAUAUCUCCCUGUGCUGCGACUGCUUGUUCACUAUCUGACCACACUGAGCUCCUUAGGAGAAGCAAGUGCAUUUCUUCAACCCUUGUUCUCAUGUGUCUAUUCACAGCGCAUGCCACACAGGGGCAGCAACCCACUCGAUGAUGGGUGAGUUACUAAAAACAAGGCCGGCUCAGCCACCAUUGUGUUACAGCCCAGCUUCACAUACAGAAUGUUAGCAACUAGGAAACACUCAGAGAUAGAGAGAGAGAUACGGGUUUUUAGAGUAAGACUCAAUUGAAAGAAAUCUCCGAGAUCUGAAGUUCUACUCUGGGCCAUCUCCUCUUCUCCUCUCAUCCGAAUCUUACUGUCACAGAAUUUUGGAGUGGAAAUGGCUUCAGCAUGACCCUCGGUGCACAAAUCACACUGGGGGGAAAGAAAGCUUAAAGUCGAUCAUAGGGGAAAAGCUGGUACCUGAGCCAAACUCCCAGGAAUUAAACUCUUCCUUACCUCUCUGUGGUACUUAAUGUCCUAGAACUUUUCCACAAAUUGUCAUCGACCUUGAUUCUCACAGAUCCCAUCAGGCGAGGGAGUCAUUGAAACUGCCCGUGUUUUACAACUGCAAGAAGCAGAUGCCUCGGCGAGUUUGGUGACCUGUCCAGGCUUGUACGGUCACUUGCUGAAGCAGGUGGAUUAGAAUCCAGCUGUCCCAGCCCCACACAUAUGCCCUAGAAUUCUCAGGGUUCCUCUGGCCUUGUACAAUUGGGGUUCAAAACCCAGCCCCUCCUUGCUGUGGUAUAGCCUAGGGCAGGCCACCUCACCUCCCCAAGCCUCUCUCUUCUCUCCUGUAAGAUAGGAAUGAUAGCUUUAUCCCGCUGGGCUGCCGUGAGGCAUAGAAGAGACAACAUACUUAAGCGCAACACAAGUAUUCAUUCAAAACCCUCCCCACUCAUUUCUCUUUUCCUGAGAAGGAACGUUCUCAGGAGAAAUGGCUCUCCUAGCCAUAGCUGGUGGAAGAUGAAUAUCAAGGAGAUGGUCAAAGGCAACCAAACACUGAUUAUUUUCCUGUUGUCUAAGUCAGGCUGGCCCAUGGUGCACAGGAGCAGGACAGGCAGAACUUCCUUGUCACAAAGAAGCACUGAGAGAUGCCCAACCCAGGACCGUGGGGGACAUGCACACAGUCCACCCGCCUCACACUAGGAAGUUCUCCACCAUCUUUAGAAGAAACGCUACCCUUGGAAGUUUGGAGCAAUGAGUAUUUUAUAUGAAGCAUUAGCAGUGGAUUCAGGCGUACUUUUAUUAUCCUCCAUUGAUUGAUAUUGCUUUUAUACAUCUCAUAAAUUACAUUAUCCAAACUGACCCUUCAACAGACCCUUAAGGUAACCCUAGGCAGAAAUAUGAUCAUCUCAUUGUUCAGGCAAGGUAAAUGGGACUUAGCGGGGCUGCUCAAAGUCAUGCAGAAGCCAGCGCAGAAGCUGAAACCAGCCGUCACAUCUUCUGGUUUGAAUGUGGGAAUCAAAUUCUUAGAUUAUUUCUCUUUCAGCAUAGUUUUGCCUCCGUACAGCAAAAGUGAAGAAUAUAAUUGGUUCCUCUGAGUAUAAAAGGUUAAAACUCAAUUGCUUUGAUUCCAUUUUUCUCUGUUAUGGAGGAAAUGGGCAGACGUAAGGACCACUAUAUGGUCCCCUUUACCUCUCCCUUCUCAACAUAAAUAUGAGGCACAACCAGAGCUCCUGAAUUCCUAGCUGUGGGUCAGGGUUUCUGUUGAGUAUCCACAGCUGGUGGCCACUCACCAUGCCUCUAGGCCACCAACCUCUGCCUUCAUGGAAGCCCAGGGAGAGAAUCAAGUUAAAUAGCCAAAGGCCAUUUAUUACAAAGGUAAAUUUGCUGCCAGAAUCCUGUGGAAUCCCAGAAACCAAGCCUCAGGGCUGUUCAAGCUAAGUCACCACGCAAACAUCUGAGGGCAGAUGGAAGGUGGCACUGCAAGCAUUUCAGGGUAGUGCCAUGAAGCUUAGGGGCAACAACCUCUCCCAACCCUCACCCAGCAGCCUUGCAGUAAAUGCCUGUCUUCUCCAAGAGAGCCGUCUACUAAACAGUAAGACCAUCCUUUAACAAGACAGGAGCACACACUUUCUUUGUUCCAUGGCCCACACAGAUCAUGUAGUCUAUGCAAGAAAAUGUGACUCAACAACGAACCUGUCAACUCAGAAUUCUCCUUAGAAGCCUUAGAUACUGAACUGCCUCCUUGAUGACAGUCUCUGACCCAUCAACAUUUGUAUCCUCCACACAGAAGUCUGCACUUAUUAAGUGUUGAAUAAAUCUAAAAAUCAAAUUGUUAUGUAUUACAGAGUUGAUAAAUAAUGCACCCUUCAGAAUAAUCUAAUCCAAUGUCAAAGACUCUCAUACCUUAAAAAAGAAGUCAAAUCCAAGGAAAGAUCCAAAGGGGCAUAGCGUUACCUCUGCAUAGACAUCGCAUCCUGAAAUUACAAUAUUGGGCCUGAAGUUGGUUGCUUUAACUUUCUUCUCUAGCCUGGAGUUGAGAUCCGCCAGCGACGCCUCAGAAAGGAUCAA
rnacentral:lncRNA from 1 species